GACGAACGCUGGCGGCGUGCUUAACACAUGCAAGUCGAACGCGAAAGGGACUUCGGUCCUGAGUAAAGUGGCGCACGGGUGAGUAACGCGUAGAUAACCUGUCUUCACGUCUGGAAUAAUACGCCGAAAGGGGUACUAAUACCGGAUAUUCUUGCUUUUCAUAAGUUUUGCAAGGAAAGGUGGCCUCUGAAUAUGCUACUGCGCGAAGAGGGGUCUGCGUACCAUUAGCUAGUAGGUGGGGUAAUGGCCUACCUAGGCUACGAUGGUUAGCGGGGCUGAGAGGAUAAUCCGCCACACGGGCACUGGAACACGGGCCAGACUCCUACGGGAGGCAGCAGUGAGGAAUAUUGCGCAAGGGGGGAAACCCUGACGCAGCGACGCCGCGUGAGUGAGGAAGGCCUUCGGGUCGUAAAGCUCUGUCAAAGGGAAAGAAGUGCAUGAUGGCUAAUACCUGUCAUGUUUGACGGUACCCUUAAAGGAAGCACCGGCUAACUCCGUGCCAGCAGCCGCCGUAACAC
rnacentral:rRNA from 1 species